rnacentral:rRNA from 1 species
GACGAACGCUGGCGGCGUGCUUUACACAUGCAAGUCGAACGGUGAAGGUGGAGCUUGCUCCGCCGGAUCAGUGGCGAACGGGUGAGUAACACGUGGGCAACCUGCCCCUAACUUUGGGAUAACUACUCGAAAGAGUAGCUAAUACCGGAUAUGAAGUCUGUAGGCAUCUAUGGAUUUGGAAAGUUUUUCGGUUAGGGAUGGGCCCGCGGCCUAUCAGCUUGUUGGUGAGGUAGUGGCUCACCAAGGCGACGACGGGUAGCCGGCCUGAGAGGGCGACCGGCCACACUGGGACUGAGACACGGCCCAGACUCCUACGGGAGGCAGCAGUGGGGAAUAUUGCGCAAUGGGCGAAAGCCUGACGCAGCAACGCCGCGUGCGGGAUGAAGGCCUUCGGAUUGUAAACUGCUUUUAUAUGUGACGAUUAUGACGGUAGCAUAUGAAUAAGGAUCGGCUAACUCCGUGCCAGCCGCCGCCAUAA